UACCUGCAGCUCGAGUGGUAACCGCUAUUAUUGGGCCUAAAGCGUCCGUAGCCGGUUUGGUAAAUAUCUGGGUAAAUCGUGAGGCUUAACUUCACGAAUUUCGGAUAGACUGCCAGACUUGGGAUCGGGGGAGGUCAGAGGUACUCCAGGGGUAGCGGUGAAAUGUUGUAAUCCUUGGAGGACCACCGGUAGCGAAGGCGUCUGACUAGAACGAGUCCGACGGUGAGGGACGAAGCCCUGGGGCGCAAACCGGAUUAGAGUACCCGGGUAGUCCAGGGUGUAAACGAUGUGGGCUUUGUAUUGGAGGUCCCACGGUGGGCGUCCAGUGCAGAAGAGAAGUUGUUAACGCCCACCGCCUGGGAAGGUACGGUCGCGAAGGCUGAAACUUAAAGGAAUUGGGCGGGGGAGCACAGCGAACGGGAGGAGCGGUGGCGGUUU
rnacentral:rRNA from 1 species